UUGCGUGGCUCGGUGAUCUGCCGAUGACGGUAAAUAUGUGUGCGCGUGCGCGGGUCGCAGCCAUGGCUGUGCCGUCCGCGUUCUUGUAUGCUGGGUCUCUCGCCUUUUUUGCAUCUACGGCCAUCCGGGACCAGGAGUCAUGCCGGGCUAUUCUGAAGCCAGAUGGAAAUCGAGGCCAGGUGGAUGGACCCACAGCGUGGAAGGGCUGACCGGCCUCCUCUGGAAGAUGUCCUGCCUCGAAAAUAUAUCUUGAGAAGAUUAAGGAAGAAGAGAUCAUUUUUUUUUGUCCAGUCUAGGAAACCCAAGAUGCUGGAACUAGAAGAGACCUGAAAUGACACAUCAGUGGUUAUCAGGCUGUCUCAUGGAACUUCUGAAGAGAUGAGGAAACGGGCCAGAUUUGAAGCCUGCUAUUUGUUUGUCACCCCUCUAAAAAGAAUCAGCAGUUUCUGGUUCUUGGCCCGAGUUGCUGUGUUUCAGGACAAGUGUGUUUGGCAGAUACUGUCUUCCUAGUCUCAGUGACGGAUAUUGGAGGUGGCAAAAGGAAAGCAGACCUGCUAUCCAAGCUCUUAGGAGGUAGAGGCAAGAAGAUCAUGGAUUCAAGGCCAGCCUGGGCUACAAGAGACCCAGUCUCCAAAAAAGAUAAAUAAAUGGAGUUUUAUCUGA